AUUUAUAUAGUUUAACUAAAACCCCUUAUUUUCAAUAAGGAAAUAAGAUAUCAAUCUUUAUAAAUA
rnacentral:tRNA from 1 species